CUGGUCACCGGUCAUUAGUAUCUCCCCCUUACAAUGGCGACUGACAGGAAGGAAUCCAGCGAUGAAACUGUUCUGGCUUGGAAAGUCUUGGAAGAUGCUAUUAACGAUAGAAAAUAUGUACAGGAGAUGAUGACACUGGAAAUAUUGUCAUGCAAUUCUUUUGGGGGAAGCAAUUUUACAAACGCUUUCGUGACAACGCAACAAAAACUGAGUACAUUCAUAAAGCUUUCCCCUUCUGGAGAGAAAGCUUGCGGGUUAUACUUUCAACAUAUAUGGGACAUUCCAAAGCUUUCUACGUUAAUUCAAGAAAAACAACGAGAAGAUGAAGACAAUAUCCCAUCAACUAAACGACCUAACUUAUUAAGUGACGAGGAAAAGAAAGCUUAUGCAUGUUUGCAAUCUUAUUUAAAUGAUAUGAAUCUCCACCAGAAAAGACUUGAGAAAGUGUAAGGUGGUGCCACAACCUUUUCUGAGUCCGAUGUUGUGAGAGUUGUUGAUGCUCACUUAUUUGGACCUCUGAGUGAAGGAAACUGCUACAUUGAUAAUCACACGGAGACUGAUUCACAGAGUGUAUGCAGCUGUGGGUGUGGUAGACAACUAAGGACAGGUCCUACAGGGCUGGGAAUUGAAUUCACCUGGCAUGGGUAUGCUGACAUGUUUGUUCAGGGGACUGUGCCAGUGACAGUUUGGUUAGGACAGGAAGAGUCAGACCCCGACAGCUGGAUACUGGGUUCAGAAGAACAACAGCAUGAUUUGGAAAAUAACACACAAUCUGGUGAAAUGAAAAAAGACAAAGAUGCAUUUCAAAGUCAACUAAUUGCCCAAACAAUUACCAAUGCUUUUGCUCAGGUUAAUCAGAACGAGCACCUUGCAGGGCUACCUAUCCCGGCGUUUGGAUGUACUCCAACAAAAUUAAUAUUUUAUGCUUAUGACUGUGAAAAUGAUGUGCUUCUUAAGAAAAUAUUUGCAGUUGACUUUGUUCAAAAGCAGUCUUUUGCCAAAGCAGUUGUUUUGGUUUGGCUACAUUUGAAUUUCACAAUUUUUAUGAGAGAAGAUGUAACGAGUAUUGAAGAACAUCCAGAGCUUAAAAACUUUCAAGCCAAAUUUUGCAUCAAUGACACAAUCCGUUCAUGGUAUAAAAAUGUCGAAGUUGGUGCAAAUUUUACAGGAUUCCAACACUCAUCUAGAAAUGAAACUCAUGUAGAACUUAUCACUACAAGAGAAAUCAAAGUUGAUUAGUUGAAUUAUAAUCAUUUUGAAAUUAUGGUAGAAGGAAACUGCUGAAUUAGUGUGAAAUCCAACAUAAAACAGUCCGGAAAUGUUCAGGUGUUCUGUUGGAGGAAAAGUGAUUCCUGUUAAUUUGUAAGUCUGUAAAUGAUGUCAUAUGGUCAUCAAAUAUGGCAGCCAUAUGCAAUUUGAAAAACUUGCUAUUGCUACUACUCCUGAAUGACAGACAGGUCCUAGAGACAUGUGCAAUACAUGUUUUAUGCUAGUCAAAUCGACUUGUAGUUUUUACUGAGUGAAAAUGAGGACACAGGGUCAUUAAAUAUGGCCACAAUGGCAGCCAUCUUGAAAA